UACAGAGGUCUCAAGCGUUGUUCGGAUUCAUUGGGCGUAAAGCGUGCGCAGGCGGUUUUGUAAGCCAGAUGUGAAAGCCCCGGGCUCAACCUGGGGAACUGCAUUUGGGACUGCAAAGCUGGAGUACGGCAGAGGGAGGUGGAAUUCCACGUGUAGCAGUGAAAUGCGUAGAGAUGUGGAGGAACACCGAUGGCGAAGGCAGCCUCCUGGGCUAGUACUGACGCUCAUGCACGAAAGCGUGGGGAGCAAACAGG
rnacentral:rRNA from 1 species